UACAGAGGGGGCAAGCGUUGUUCGGAAUUACUGGGCGUAAAGGGCUCGUAGGCGGCCAACUAAGUCAGACGUGAAAUCCCUCGGCUUAACCGGGGAACUGCAUCUGAUACUGGAUGGCUUGAGUUCGGGAGAGGGAUGCGGAAUUCCGGGUGUAGCGGUGAAAUGCGUAGAUAUCUGGAGGAACACCGGUGGCGAAGGCGGCAUCCUGGACCGACACUGACGCUGAGGAGCGAAAGCCAGGGGAGCAAACGGG
rnacentral:rRNA from 1 species